CCCCAGAUAGGAACCAAAACUACCCCUUCAAGCAAUAAGGACUGCCCUUAGCCAGCAAGACCCUGCCUGUGCUUGACUUCAGGACAAUCAUCGACUUGACCUUCACGGCCCACCUGCAGACAGAGAUUCCAGGAGGCUGACAUGGUAAGAAAUCUUACCUGCUACUGGCUGAAUGUCAGAAGUCCCAAGGAUCUCUCAGCUGCAGCAGUGUCAGGCUCCCAUAACCUAUGAAAUGACAGGAAGGAAGAAGUGGGAAAGAAAGCUCUCCUUGAAUAUCCUGCUUUCAUCCGGAUGGAAAAUCUUUCUAGACGCAUCUAAAGAAGAGUGCUGCUGAAGGGUUCGCUGACCAAACCUGGGCCACAUGGCCAGCGCUACCAGCAAGGAGGGUAAACAGUCUCUACUUGGAUGACUCUGUGAAGAACUCAGCCAGUUAGAUUUCCACCCUCCCUCUACUCCUCUCCAAGAAGACAUCCAGUAACAGAGCCCCUCUGAGUGUGAGCUCAUCACAUGGUUGCCCAGCAAGAUACUACAUUUUCCAGUCUCCCUUGAAGGUAUGUGUGGUCAUAUGACUGAGUUUGGA